GGACUACUCGGGUAUCUAAUCCUGUUUGCUCCCCACGCUUUCGCGUCUCAGCGUCAGUCACCGUCCAGAGGGCCGCCUUCGCCACCGGUGUUCCUCCUGAUAUCUACGCAUUUCACCGCUACACCAGGAAUUCCACCCUCCUCUCCGGGACUCGAGUUCGCCAGUUUCCAAUGCCCUUCCGGGGGUGAGCCCCGGGCUUUCACAUCAGACUUAGCGGACCGCCUACACGCGCUUUACGCCCAGUGAUUCCGAACAACGCUUGCACCCUCCGUAUUACCGCGGCUGCUGGCAC
rnacentral:rRNA from 1 species